UGGGUGACUUCGACGGGAAGAUCGACGUUUCGUCGAUCUGAUCAACGGUUCGUCGAUCUGAUCGACGGUUCGUCCUUUGAACCGUCGAUUGUGCAUUGUUCACUGGAAAUUUGACCAAUUCGACGGAGCAGAUCGACGCUCCGUCGAUCUGAUCGACGGUUCGUCGUUUGAACCGUCGUUUGGUCCGUUAAGUACGUUUCGGGUCACCUGACUUCGGGAGGCCAUAACCCUAUCAUAACUUGGGAAUUUGGGAAAACUCAAAGAACGAAAGUUGUAGAUAAUUGAAAAACCUUUCCAACCAUAGGUUGUGGGUUCACAGGAGACGUCGGGAUAAGGAGAUAUGGAUGUUUUAAGACAGCAAGGUCCCAACCCGUUUUCAAGUUGGGUCAACCCAUUUUCCCCUUGGUAUAUAAAGAAAAUAUUACCCUAACAGCCCAUUUUUCCUCCAAAACUCAGAUUUUAGAGAGAGGAAGUGAGAGAGAAGGGAAAUUAGAGAGAGAAAGUAGAAAAUCAACCAAGUUUAAGGCCCCGAAUCCCAAAGCUCGUGAAGGAAAAUGUGUAGUACAAGUCGUUGUCGUCAUUUUAAGCCCAAGAUCGGACUUGGGGGUGUUGAUUUCGUGAUGACUACCCAAAAGAUUGAAGUUGAAGGGGGUGAAGGACAUUGUGAUACGCCCAAAAGCGGAAGGUUAAGGUACUGAUAUACAGGACGACACAUCUGCUCAGUAGGACAGCAUUCGUAUCAGCUUAUUUGUGAGCCCCAUCUCAUUCGGGGUUUAGUCAACUUUUAUCUUAUGAUUAGUUAUGCAUCUAAAGGUAUGCUGGGGGCCUUGUCCCAGUAAGUAUGUUUUUCAGUCAGACUCAUGAUAGAGGUUUCAUAGACUAGAACAGACAGUUAUGUCAUGUCAGAUAAUCGAAGUCGCAUAGCCAUUUUGGCUCACUCAUGUUUAAACAAGUACUUUAUUAAGUAUUAUGACUUAUUAUGUUUUAUAAAGGCU